AACGAACGCUGUCGGCAUGCCUAACACAUGCAAGUCUAACGAGACUUUCGGGUCUCGUGGCGCACGUGUGCGUCACGCGUGGGAACCUGCCCUUAGGUUCGGAAUAACUCCCCGAAAGGGGUUCUAAUACCGGAUAAUCUCUUCGGACCAAUGAUUUAUCGCCUUUGGAUGGGCCCGCGUUGGAUUAGCUAGUUGGUAGGGUAAAAGCCUACCCAGGCGAAGAUCCAUAGCUGGUCUGAGAGGAUGAUCAGCCACACUGGGACUGAGACACGGCCCAGAAUCCGAAGGGAGGCAGCAGGGGGGAAUAUUGGACAAGGGGAGAAAGCCUGAGCCAGCAAUGCCGCGUGAGGGAUGAAGGCCUUAGGGUUGUAAAGCUCUUUUACACGGGAUGAUAAUGACAGUACCGGGAGAAUAAGCUCCGGAUAACUCCGUG
rnacentral:rRNA from 1 species